GUAGUAUUCCCUCCGUCCCAAAAUUCUUGUCUUACAUUUGUUUAGAUACGGAUGUAUCUAACACUAAAAUGUAACUAGAUACAUCUGUAUUUAGACAAAUUUAAGAAAAGAAUUUUGGGACAGAGGGAGUACAAA
rnacentral:pre_miRNA from 1 species